AUGGCUGUCGUCAGCUCGUGCCGUGAGAUGUUGGGUUAAGUCCCGCAACGAGCGCAACCCCCGUUCCCAGUUGCCAGCGAGUAAUGUCGGGGACUCUGGGAAGACUGCCGGUGCCAAACCGGAGGAAGGUGGGGACGACGUCAAGUCAUCAUGGUCCUUACGUCUAGGGCUACACACGUGCUACAAUGGUCGGUACAGUGGGUUGCGAGCCAGCGAUGGCAAGCCAAUCCCUUAAAGCCGCCCUCAGUGCGGAUUGGAGGCUGCAACUCGCCUCCAUGAAGCUGGAAUCGCUAGUAAUCGUGGAUCAGCUACGCCACGGUGAAUACGUUCCCGGGCCUUGUACACACCGCCCGUCACGCCAUGGAAGCUGUGAGCGCCCGAAGUCCGUGCAGCAACCCGCAAGGGGGCAAGCGGCCGAAGGCGAGCGCAGUGACUGGGGCGAAGUCGUAACAAGGUAGCCGUAGGGGAACCUGCGGCUGGAUCACCUCCUUAACGGACAUUCGAGUAGGUCAGCGAUCGGGUGCAGGGAACCGCAAGGGACCCUGCGCACAGCCGUCUGACUGAAAGAGUCUGUAAGUCGCUCGUCUCGACACAUCCAAUCCCAAAUUCAAUUUCUGCUUAGACGCCGCGUGCCCUGGCGAUGCCAGGGCACGGUGAGCGUCGACGCUAUUUGACAACGGAAGAACAUGGUAGAAUCGCGGAUUUGAGAAUCCUUUAUUGAGGACUAUCAAUUUCGUCUUGCCGCGAUCGCGGGCGUUUUGCGCCAGCGGUCGUCAGAGACGUUUGAAGAUUGUCACUCGAAAAGUCAGUCAUUGAAGUAGAUCGUACCGCUCUGCUUGAACCACAGAUUGUUGUAGUCAAGCGAGCGAAGGCAUGUGGGGGAUGCCUGGGCACACGGAGGCGAGGAAGGCCGUGGUAAGCUGCGAUAAGCCAGGGGGAGCGGCACACACGCAAUGAUCCCUGGAUGGCCGAAUGGGGAAACCCGG
rnacentral:sRNA from 1 species